GUUAGGAAUAUUGGACAAUGGGCGAAAGCCUGAUCCAGCCAUGCCGCGUGAACGAUGAAGGCCUUCGGGUUGUAAAGCUCUUUAGCCGAUGAUUAUAAUGACUGUAGUCGGAAAAUAAGCCCCGGCUAACUUCGUGCCAGCAGCCGCGGUAAUACGAAGGGGGCGAGCGUUAUUCGGAAUCACUGGGCGUAAAGCGUGCGUAGGCGGUUUUGUAAGUUAGGAGUGAAAGCCCAGGGCUCAACCUUGGAAUUGCUCUUAAAACUGCAAGGCUCGAAUCUCGGAGAGGAUAGCGGAAUUUCCAGUGUAGCAGUGAAAUGCGUAGAUAUUGGAAGGAACACCAGUGGCGUAAGCGGCUAUCUGGACGAGUAUUGACGCUGAGGCACGAAAGCGUGGGGAUCAAACAGGAUUAGAUACCCGUGUAGUCC
rnacentral:rRNA from 1 species